GAUGAACGCUGGCAGAAUGCUUAACACAUGCAAGUCUUUCGCACAGCUUUGCUCGCACCUCCUAGCCAAGUCGGACGUGUGAUUAACGCGUAAGAAACUUGCCCUGCAGUCCUGGAUAACAGACGGACACGACUGAUAAAACCGAUUAAUGUCAGCCGGACUCAUUUCCAGCCUGAUGAAAAUAGAUUCUGCAGUAGAGCCUUGCGUCCUAUUAGCUUGUUUGUGGUGUAACGGCCCACCAAGGCGAUGAUAGGUAGCCUGCCUGAGAGGGUGUACGGCCACAAGGGGACUGAGAGACGGCGCAUACUACUACGGGAGGUAGAAGUGAGGCAUAUUGGACAACGGGGGGAACGCUGAGCAAGAAAUUCUGUGUGAAAGAUGAAGGGUUUCGGAUUGUAAAGUGUUUUCAGCAGAGAAGAAAAAAAUGACGGUACCUGAAGAAGAAGCGACGGCUAAAUACGUG
rnacentral:rRNA from 1 species